GCAUAUCAAUAAGCGGAGGAAAAGAAACCAACAGGGAUUGCCCUAGUAACGGCGAGUGAAGCGGCAACAGCUCAAAUUUGAAAUCUGGCUUCGGCCCGAGUUGUAAUUUGCAGAGGAAGCUUUAGGCGCGGCACCUCCUGAGUCCCCUGGAACGGGGCGCCACAGAGGGUGAGAGCCCCGUAUAGUUGGAUGCCUAGCCUGUGUAAAGCUCCUUCGACGAGUCGAGUAGUUUGGGAAUGCUGCUCAAAAUGGGAGGUAAAUUUCUUCUAAAGCUAAAUACCGGCCAGAGACCGAUAGCGCACAAGUAGAGUGAUCGAAAGAUGAAAAGCACUUUGAAAAGAGGGUUAAAUAGCACGUGAAAUUGUUGAAAGGGAAGCGCUUGUGACCAGACUUGCGCCGGGCUGAUCAUCCGGUGUUCUCACCGGUGCACUCUGCCCGGCUCAGGCCAGCAUCGGUGUACUCGCGGGGGGAUAAAGGCCCUGGGAACGUAGCU
rnacentral:rRNA from 1 species